UUUUAAGCAGGACUUACAAAUGCAAUAUGCAAGUCAUCGAGGCUGGUUUCUGCAAAGAUGUCCAAGGAGUGCCACAGAAUCACAGCAGAGGCUGAUGGAGUUUCCCUCACCAGAGCUUGAAUAAAAGGGAAUUCAGUGACACUCUGCCAUGUGCAAACAAGACAGCUGUUCCACAUGAAGGGCUGGCCCCAGGAUUGCUGGUAUCUCAGGGGAAGCCUGAUUUUGUGUCGUCCCCCCAACUGCCCUCUUUGCCUGCAGUGUACCCUGCCUCCUUCAUCCAUGCAGGCAUCCUGCUGCCCCACAGGCUCAAUUCAAGGUGCGGAUUAACACAUUUAAAGCUCUAAAUGGCUUGAGUCCCAAGUAUCUGAAGGACUAUCAACUCUUAACCAGAUCUUGCCCCCAGAAAAAUUAUCCAAAGAUGCUCUGCUUUAUAUGCCAUUUCCAACCGAGGCACAGUUGUCACGAACAUGGGACAAGACCUGGUUGUUCCAGGAUGUGGAAUAAUCUCUGGUUGGA